rnacentral:misc_RNA from 1 species
AUGCUCGAGCUGCUCGCGCGGCGAGAGCGGGCCGCCGCGUGCCGGCCGAGGGACGGACCGGGAACGGCCCCCUCGGGGGCCUUCCCCGGGCGUCGAACAACCGACUCAGAACUG